AUGUUGUAUGAAAGGAGAGAAGGUUAGACUCCUCUUGACAAGGAUGGAAGAGGCUCUGGGGUCUAACAACACACAUAUGGUUAAGGCAUUGCCACCUCCUUAGGGGCCAUCACUCACCACGCAGGUGG